rnacentral:lncRNA from 1 species
CUUUGUUUUAAUGAUAUAAACAUAUAAGGCCAUACUAAGCUAUAAGAUUUCUUAGCCUAUUAAGUUGAACCUAUCUGAAUCUCAUCUGGUUAAAGUAGGAUAUGAAAAUCCAUCAAUGAAAAGGGAGAUUGAUUUUGAUCAAUGGAAAUGGGGAGUCAUUUUAAGCAUGUAAACAAAAAGGGAAAACAUACAGAUCUGAAGUCUAGUAGUGAAAAAAUGAC